rnacentral:rRNA from 1 species
AUUGAACGCUGGCGGCGUGCCUUACACAUGCAAGUCGAACGGCAGCGGACCUUCGGGUGCCGGCGAGUGGCGAACGGGUGAGUAAUGCAUCGGAACGUACCUUUCAGUGGGGGAUAACGUAGCGAAAGUUACGCUAAUACCGCAUAUUCUGUGAGCAGGAAAGCAGGGGAUCGAAAGACCUUGCGCUGAUUGAGCGGCCGAUGUCAGAUUAGCUAGUUGGUGAGGUAAAGGCUCACCAAGGCGACGAUCUGUAGCGGGUCUGAGAGGAUGAGCCGCCACACUGGAACUGAGACACGGUCCAGACUCCUACGGGAGGCAGCAGUGGGGAAUUUUAGACAAUGGGGGCAACCCUGAUCCAGCCAUGCCGCGUGAGUGAAGAAGGCCUUCGGGUUGUAAAGCUCUUUCGGCCGGGAAGAAAUCGCACGGGCUAAUACCCUGUGUGGAUGACGGUACCGGAAUAAGAAGCACCGGCUAACUACGUGCCAGCAGCCGCAGUAACAC